UCUCUCAUAGUAUAACGGGUUAAUACACACUGCGUAUUUUAAUGAAUUCAUCGACUUAUUGGUGUGAGAUCCGGGUUCAAUUCCCGGUGGGAGAA